ACCAUGGAAACCAGGAUGGUGAUGCGUCGAGAGCAGGAGGAGCAGUCGUCCCAGAUGUCUCACAGCAUGCAGCUGUCCUCCCAGAUCAAGAAGAAGACCUUCACUUCAAGCGAUGAGGAGGCCUCCUAUUCAGGUGUCUUUCCCAUCAUACCCGGUGAUGUGAUGUCAGUCAAAGAGGUCCUCGACAUGGACAACUUUCCUCGGCACAGGACAUGAUGUGCUCAGAUGAACACAGUGUAGACGGAUAGUUUAGGAUGGAGGCUGGAAAAAGCUGAAGAUGACUGACCUCUACGGGCCAAAAACGAAACGAUGGAAGGAUGAAGCUGAACGCUCUUGAGAACUGGCACACUAUUUCUAGACCUUGAGCGUUUGCAAGAUGGGGGAGCAUGACAUUCGCUUUGAUUUGUGCGGAAACGAAUGUGCUAGAUCAUUCUGUACUGGCAACUACAUGUUCCUAUCAGAUUCACGUAAUGGUCUCUCUGGUAUCUUCCCC
ensembl:lncRNA